AGCGAACGCUGGCGGCAGGCCUAACUCAUGCAAGUCGAACGAACUCUUCGGAGUUAGUGGCGGACGGGUGAGUAUCACGUGGGAACGUGCCUUUAGGUUCGGAAUAACUCAGGGAAACUUGUGCUAAUACCGAAUGUGCCCUUCGGGGGAAAGAUUUAUCGCCUUUAGAGCGGCCCGCGUCUGAUUAGCUUGUUGGUGGGGUAAUGGCCCACCAAGGCGACGAUCAGUAGCUGGUCUGAGAGGAUGACCAGCCACAUUGGGACUGAGACACGGCCCAAACUCCUACGGGAGGCAGCAGUGGGGAAUCUUGCGCAAUGGGCGAAAGCCUGACGCAGCCAUGCCGCGUGGAUGAUGAAGGUCUUAGGAUUGUAAAAUCCUUUCACCGGUGAAGAUAAUGACUGUAGCCGGAGAAGAAGCCCCGGCUAACUUCGUGCCAGCAGCCGCCGUAA
rnacentral:rRNA from 1 species